AAUGAGCCAGUCCUUUUUGCUGAUGAAAUAUUGUGUGUUGUAAUUUUAGGUCAGCCAACAUACAUUUAAGAUCUUAAACUUAGUUCAUUAAAGUUUUGACGUAGAUAAUACCGAGCAUGUUAUAGCCAUAUUCUUCAAGACCACAAGGGAAUGUACUUAACACAUAGAUGUUUCAUCUAUUUGCUGAUGAAAAUACUAAACUUUUGUUUGAAAUGACGGUACAAUGUGUGACAUCUAUGUCCUAUUGAGCACCAGGGGUAUGGAGUAAAAAAGACAAUCACUAUGUAUAAACUAUGUAGUAUUGGUCAAGAUAAAAAACACUUCAAUUGGGAUGGCAUGUGAGAAGUCAGUGAUUCAUCUACCAAAAGUGAAUUACAUUCUCAUAGAGUUUAUGUCUUCAGAAGUACCCUUGAAAAAGCUGAAUACUGCAGUGGCAGAUGUUACAGUAUUUUUACUAAAUUGUGAAACAAGUUUUCGCAAGUUGGUUGUUGUUCCCUGUUUGGGUCAAACCCUCAACCUGGGGUUGCAAGACUACAUUCAAGGACAUAAGUGAGCUGUCAUUUGUGACUUCCCAUGUGUUUGCAAGAAUCUGUUAUUGUAACUGUUUCCAAUUAUUGACAUUAUUUUAAUUUAAAAAUAUACUAAUAUGUAAUUCAUGUUAUACAAUUAAAAAUACAGUGAUCAGAAUAUGGUUACACUGUCAAAAUCUGUAACUGUAUAUAUAGUCAGGAAAAUAACUAGUGCAAGCUCUUUCUAUUUUUGGUUAAAUUUCUGAAAUACUUUUGAAGUUACUGUCACAGUGAAUAAAAUUAUUUGAUAUGGAAUAUUUUUUAUAAAAUGCCGUUAUUUUAACUCAUUCAGCUUUUUUGUAUAUUUUUGUUACCAUGGCAACCAAAAUACACAAUUUUUGUAAUCAGUGCAUUACAGAAUAUUUGUUUUGCAUUGGAUUUAUGUACUAACAUGUUACAGCUAUGCGUUUUAAAGUGGACUAACUUAAGUUAUGAAAUUACGUUCAUUGAACGCCGCCUUUCCUUGUUGAUCUUGUUAUAUUUUAAUCAUGGAAAAGUUACUGAAAUUCUGAGAGUUUAAAUCUUAUGUUUAUAUUUUUUAUCAAUAACAAUUUAAGUGAAAAAUGAAAAAUUCUUUUUUUUUCUGAAAAGUCUUAAAUAUUGUUGUCUUUUUAUAUAAAUAUGGAUUAAUUUGGUGAUGAGUUAAUCAAUGUAAGUGCAUAAAUAUUGCAUUUGACGAUUUUUUUUAUUUGUGUUGCCAUGGUAACCGAUUUUUGAAAACAAAUGAUAGCUUUUAUAUCAAGUUAUUACAUAUAUUACACCAAGAUGAAUGAUAAC